rnacentral:lncRNA from 1 species
AAAAGCUUCAUGAAAAUUUGUUACCUCAAGUUGAUAUCAUCUUCCAAUCCCAUGAAACAGAGUGGAUAAUUUUUUUUCUUGUUCUUUUUUGGACUUACUCAUUAGAGUUGAACUAUAUUUUUUAUUCUUCCUUUGUUUCUUUCUUUGAAGUAGCCUCUCGAGUUUUCUUGAGAAAAUUUUAAUUUCUUCAUCAAAAUCUUCAUGAUCAAUUUCAUUAUUGCUCUCAACUUGAAGUGCCAAAGUCUUUUUUAUUGGUGCUUCAUCUUCUUAAUCAUACAUUCUUAGCUGAUUUUCAAAUUUUUUAAGCUCUCCAAAUAAGGUAAGAGUUUCCAUGGUACUAAUUGUUGUUGAAUAUUGAAGAGUUAUAACCUUUGGUGCGAAUCGUUUAGGCAUGACUCUAAGUAUCUUUCUAUUUAUCUCCCUUUGAUCAAUUUUUCGACCAAACAUACUUGGUGAAUUCAUUAGUGUGAGAAAUCUCCCUUGAGUUUCAUUGAUUGUUUCGUCCUUUUCUAAUUUGAAGAGCUCAUAUUCUUGCAUCAACAUACUUAACUUCACAUCUUUGACUUUGGAAGUACCUUCGUGGCUUGUCAAGAUAGUAUCCCACAUUUCUUUUGUUGUGUUGCACAAUGAUACUUUAU